GUGGGGAAUCUUCCGCAAUGGACGAAAGUCUGACGGAGCAACGCCGCGUGAGUGAAGAAGGUUUUCGGAUCGUAAAGCUCUGUUGUUUAGGACGAAAGUGCCUGUUGCAAAUAGUUACAGGUAUUGACGGUACUGAACGAGGAAGCCACGGCUAACUACGUGCCAGCAGCCGCGGUAAUACGUAGGUGGCAAGCGUUGUCCGGAAUUAUUGGGCGUAAAGAGCAUGUAGGCGGGAAUCUAAGUCUGUUGUGAAAAUGCGGGGCUCAACCCCGUAUUGCGAUGGAAACUGGGUUUCUUGAGUGCAGGAGAGGAAAGGGGAAUUCCCAGUGUAGCGGUGAAAUGCGUAGAUAUUGGGAGGAACACCAGUGGCGAAGGCGCCUUUCUGGACUGUGUCUGACGCUGAGAUGCGAAAGCCAGGGUAGCGAACGGGAUUAGAUACCCCUGUAGUCC
rnacentral:rRNA from 1 species